GGCGUCAGUGUGAAGGGAAGGCUAAGGACGCAUCGGUGCUGGAGAGUUGAGAAUAUGCCUUCCCCUCCACCCCCAACCCAGUCACCUUAUUUGAAAAAAAAUUAAAAAACACCUUUUAUUUAAAAACCUAACCCUGGAAGUUUGCUCGGGAAGGCAUUCUCUUCCUCUUCCUCCAGCUGCCUGAAAAUCAUAUGCGUGGUUUUUCCUGUUUCCUGCUCUGUAGCUGACAUCAGGGGAGCAACGUGAACACAGGAAAAUGGAAAUCAACAUUUGAAACUUUUAAAUGGAAGCUUUAUUGGGGUUCCACAUAUGGAAAACUGCAAAUAGCAGAAGUAUGUGACUCAAUAAAUUAUUCUGGAGUGACCACAUCCUCUAACUGCCUCCCAGGACAAGACGGAGAAUGUGAACAAUGCUCCUGAAGGCCCCUUUCCCUCAAAGGUAACCACUGGCCUGACUUCUGACACCAUACAUUUGUUUUGCUUUUUUGAACUUCAUGUAAAUGGAAUCAUAUGGUAGGUAUUCUUUUUUAAAUUUCAUCUUUAUUGUGAUAAGAACAUUAAACAUGGAUAGGUGUUCUUUUGUCUGUCUUCAUUCUCUCAACAUUAUUUUUGUGUCUAUGUAGUUGGGUAUACUAAUAGUAUGUUUUCUUUGUUAUAUUUUCUUCCCUUGUAUCCUUGUAUCAGUAAUAUAGCACAAUUUAUCAUUUUUUUUUUUUUUUGAGACAGGGACUCCCUCUGUCACCUAGGCUGGAGUGCAGUGGCAUGAUCUUGGCUCACUGUAGCCUUGACCUCCUGGGCUCAAGUGAUCCUCGGACCCAGAGUAGCUGGGACUACAGGCCCAUGCCACCAUGCCCGGCUAAUUUUUGUAUUUUUGUAUUUUUUUUUUUUUUUUUUUUGUAGAGACAGGGUUUCGCCAUGUUGCCCAGGCUGGUUUCAAACUCCUGGACUCAAGUGAUCUGCCCGCUUUGGCCUCCCAAAGUGCUAGGAUUACAGGAGUGCACCACCAUGCCCGGUAGUUUAUCCAUUUUCCCCUUGAUGAACAUUUGAAUUGUUUUGAGUUUUAGGCUACUUUCAGAGAGUGCAGCUGGAAACUUUCUUGUGCAUGUCUUUGAUGCUUGUGUAUAUGCAUUAUGUUUAGUCUAUAUAUAGACUAAAGGGGAAGUUACCAAAUUGUAGAACAUGACUAUGCUCAACUUUAAUAAAUAAUGCCAAACAGUUUUCCAAAGAGAUUGUGUCAGUCUCCACUCUUACCAGCAGUGGGUGAUGCUCUACAUCCCUGCUAGCACUUGGCAUUCUCAGUCUUCUUGAUUUUGGUCAUUCUGGUGGUAUGUAUAGAGUCUCAUUGUGGUUUUAAUUCCAUUUUCUUGGAUUAUUAGUACACUGAGCAUCUUUUUCAUGUAUAGUGGCUAUUUGGAUAUUCCCUUUUGUAAGUGGUCUUAUUAAGUCCAUUUUUCUAUUGGACUUUUCAUCUUAUUGAUUUGUAGGAGAUAUAUAUUCUGCAUAUAGCUUUUUGGUUAUAUAUGUUAAAAAUAUGUACCACCCUGAGCUUGACUUUUCAUUCUCUUUGUGGUGCCUUUGGAUGAAUAGAAAAUAUUAACUUUUUCUUUUGUUUUGUUUUGCUUUUUGAGAUAGGAGUCUUGCACUGUUGCUCAGGCUGGAGUGCAGUGGCUUGAUCAUGGCUCAUUGCAGCCUCAACCCCCAGGGCUCAAGUGAUUCUCUCACCUCAGCCUUCUUAGUAGCUGGGACUACAGGCAUGUGCCACCAUGCCUAUCUAAUUUUUGUAUUUCUGUUGUUGUUGUUGUAGAUACAGGGUUUUGCCAUCUUGCCCAGGCUGGUUUUGAGCUCCUGGACUCAAGUGAUCCUCCUAACUCAGCCUCCCAAAGUGCUAGGAUUACAAGCAUGAGUCACUGUGCCCAGCUGAUUUUAAUGUUACUGUUAAUAUAGUCUAUUUCCCUUUGUGGUUAAUGCUUUCUGUGUCCUAUUUAGGAGAGCUUUGCUUAUUUCAAGGCCAUAAUAAUAUCCUUUCAUAUUAUCUUUUGUAAGUUGUGUUGUUUCACCUUUCACAAUUGGAUCUACAAUCCACAUGGCAUUGAUUUUUGUAUGUGGUGUGAGGUUGGGAUCAAGUUUGGUUCUUUACUCCAUGAUAUCUACUUACCCUUCAUGAUGAAUGGAAAAGACUUCCUUUCUCCAAUGCUCUGCAGGGACACUUUUGUCAUAAAUUAAGCACCCACUUCUUUAUAGAAUUAUCAUAUUACUUUUUUCCAUUAUUCUGUUAGCAUGGUGAGUUAUUCAAUGGGUUUUUGAAUGUUAAACCAAUCUUGCAUUUCUGGAUUAAACUCAACUUGGGUGUGAUGGAAUAUUUGUCUUACAUAUUGCUGCAUGUACUUUGGUCAUAUUUUCAAAAAUAAUUUUUAUAGAAAUGUUUAUGAGUGAAAUUUACCUGUAACUUUCUUUUAUUGUAAUGUCUUUCUCAAAUGUGUUAUCAACGUUCCACUGGCUCAUAAAACAAGUUGAGAAGUAUAUAGUCUUUUAGAAAUUAAAACAUAAAUGAGUCUAAUAUCACAUAGUAAUUAAACAUAUAUGUAGUUUAUCCUGAGAAGGACUCACUACAGUUUUCUGUCUUUCUAUGUUUCUGUGUAUUUUAACUUAGAUUUUUAGCAGGAAGCUGGUUUUGUGUGAGUUUUGCAUGGGAAAGUAAAUAGGAAUUAGACUAUCUUCUAGGAGUUUCCAUAUGGCACUCAGCAGUAUGUUCAUGUGCCCAAGGCUGAAAUUUGUUACUGCAUCUCAAUCCUGGAACCCAUAAUCAAGGCUCAUCAGUUGAGAAACCUUUUUGGACAUAUGACAAGUGUUCAGAUAAAAUAUCUGAUCCCUGCCAAGAAUCUUCUAGGCCAAUUUAAUCUCUGACUUUUGACCUUAUCUGUCACUGCUCCAAAGACUUUUUAAUUUUUAUUUUUAAAAUAUCCUGUAGUAGCAUGCAUAUCAUUCCUCAUCCCAGCUCUCUUUUCCUACUUAGUAUUGUCCCAGUUCAAGGCCUUGUCACCUCUUGCCUGGGCAAUGGCGUCUAUGGGAUACUAUUCUCCAUUUAUCUUCUUCUCAGCCAUGCAGAUGCUGACUCUGAAAUAGAAAGCUAACCACAUUAGUCCUUUGCUGAAAACCAGGUGAUUUCUGUAUUGCUCUGCAAGAUGAAGUCCAGGUUUAUCAAUGUGGUGCAGGUUCUUGCAUGAUCUGAUGUCUUAGUCCAUUCAGGUUGCUUAACAAAAUAUCUUAGACUGAGUAAUUUAUAAACAAUAGAAAUAUAUCGCUGGUAGUUCUGGAGGAUGGGGAGUCCAAGAUCCAGGCGUCAGCAGAUUUGGUGUCUGGUAGGGCUUCAUAGAUGGCACCUUGUUGCUGCAUUCUUACAUGGUGGAAGGGGCAAGGAAGCCCCCUGGAUCUUCUUUUAUAAGGGCACCAGUCCUACUCAUUAUGGUGGAGCCCCCAUGACUGAAUCACUUCCCAAAGGCCCUACCUCUUAAUACGAUCCUGUCAGGUAUUUGGUUCCAACGUGAGUUUUGGAAGGAUACCAGCAUUCAGACCAUAGCACCUGGCUCUUGCUCACCUCUUCAGUCUGCUCUCCUGUCUCACUCUAGUCUUUGGCUUUACAUUCCUGCAGCUCUAUCUUCUGGUUCCAACUAUGUGUGCUCCCUGUGGUUCUCUGUGCCUGUGCAUUUGCCUGUGCUGACCUUUCUCCCUGGAAUAGACUAUCCAUAUCCUUCUGGAUAAUCCAUUCUUUAACAGCCAGCUCAGGCUAGGUAACCUUGCCCUCCACCCAGCUGGGCUGCUUGGCUCUCCUUUCUGCCCAUGUGUCUGUCUGUCAGACUGGACCGUAAGCUCUUUGCAGGCAAGGUCUGGGCUUUAGUUACCUAUGUACAACCAUAACUUCCUGUUUGCUGGUAGAUAACAGGUGCACAAUAAACAAUGAUAGAUCCAAACAGAAGGAAGAAUGGUGACUAGUUGACUAUUUUGAGUUUCAUUUCAUUUCUUUAUGGAAGCCUGAGAUGGAAUAAAAUGGUCAAAAUGCCAUGACCAGAAGGGAGGCAGGAAGGAGGCAGGAAGGCAAAGGCUCAGGAAGAUCUGUAGAUACAAUCUCUUCCUGUACAACUGAGUUCAGUCUAGCUGAUUAAAAUCCUCUUAUGGUGGAAUCCGCUUUUUAUAGAAUGGAUUAGCAACAAGGAUUUGCUGUGAAGAUAGAUUUUUCCAGAGAAACAAAUUUGAGCAAUUUAAGAAUGUAAAUGAAAAAAAAUCCUGCCCCAAAAGCAAAUUGACCAAUAUCCUUCCCCUGUCUCUUAUUAAUAAAAGAGUUUACACAGACUCUCUUUAGGAAAUCAUGUGAGAGAUUCACAAGGAUCAUUAAAUCUCUGCUAGACAUUCACUUUCACUUUGUAAAAUUGGCUAUACCCUCAAAAUGGUAUCACGUAGAAACGGACUUUCUGGGGCUCUUAUCUAUGAAUGGGUUCUAGCUGCACAGUGAUGCCAUUCAUUUUAUUUGGCCCAUUUAUUGCAAGUACAUUCUAAAUUUGGCCUUAAUUAUUUUUCCUUUCACAAAAAUAUUUUGUGGGAUCUUUUUGAACCCUGACUACUUCCUUCUUGCCCCUUAAAACAGAAGCCAGGAGCAUUAUUUUUGUUCUCUUCUAAUUAAAAUAAUUGCUUGGCUCCUUUUAACUAGAUUCAUGCAGUUAUUAGCCUAAUACAUGGAUGGGUGCCAUGGAGUGCUUGAGAAACAAAAUGAAAAGUGAUCAUGUAGCUUCACAUGAAAAAGAUUCUGUGGUGCCAAGGAGCAUUAUUUCCUUUCAGCCAGUAUUUUAUAAGGGCUUUCGUAAACCUGGCCCCCAUACCCUCACUAAAAGACUAUUAAGUGAAAGAAUAGCUCUAUUUUCUUUAUUAAGGUAUACCGCUAGCUCAGUACAAUUUGAAGAGGGGCACUUGAUAUGCCGAGCAUGGCACAAAGACCUCGGGUCUGGUUUUAAUCUCUGCCCCGGCUUUGUCUUUCAGAAUCACUGCAAUUGAAGGAAAAAUGCUCCAUGUCCCCUCUGCCAGUUGGUGUUUAUCAAAGGACAACGGAGGAAGAGAGACAAAGUGCCUGGAUGUGUGUGUUAAUCAAGAGUUGUCAGGACCCUGCCUCUAAAAGAAAGCGCUAAAAUGAUGCUUUUGACAAGACUUUUCUCAAAGUGGAUGCAGUCUAAGGGUUGGAAAACAAGGCCCAAUCAGGCUAGGUCUGACUUGUCGCCUGCUUUUGUAAAUAAAGUUUUAU
ensembl:lncRNA PANTR1 POU3F3 adjacent non-coding transcript 1